ensembl:lncRNA
GGUACACUGCUCUUGGGUAUCCUCCUGACAUGUAUGUAACUGUGUGGGUGUAAAUGUGUACAUAUGUGUGACUCUGUAUGCAGAUAUGACAAAUAAUCUGUCUUUUAUCUUUUUCAGUGCGGCUACAUAUAGACCAGUGGCAGCUACCUCUGUUCCUGUAUUGAAGCUAAUAUUACAGUGUGCAGAGGUAGUGUUUGAAGCACUGAGGAGGGACAUGCAGUCUGACCGGGCACAUGGCAACCAAAAGGAAAGAGAAGAACAUUUCAUUGGUUUGGGGCAAACUGAGAAGAUUAAGCAUCACUCUGGGACAGGACUUUAGAGAUGUUGCAGAAACUGAAGAAAGCUGUCCUUAAAAAGUGCAUAUUA